rnacentral:rRNA from 1 species
AUGGCGCAGCCGCCGCCAUGGAAGGCGAUGUACCUGUAUGUGGCGAGCCAGGCGCGCGACGGCUGCGCCGGCGUCAGGCAAAGAGUCGCCUCCGCGCGUGACGAUCUGGCGUCCCCGCUGGUGCUGGACACCCGCGACGCCGAGGGGCGGUACACCCUGCUGCAGUCCGCGACGACCCACCUCCAGCACGCGUCCGACCACCUCUCCGCUUUCAUCAUCAACACGGCGGUGGCCGAGCGCCUGGCGCUCCACGGCUGCGGCCCCGUCCCGUCGCAGCCGGUGGCCCGCGUCGGCGACCUCCGCGCCGGCCACGACCACGACUGGCUUGGCCUGAUCAGGCUCCAGGCCGCCAGGGAGCACGCCGAGGGCGCGCUCCGCCGAGUGGAGGGGGCCCUCGCCCUCCUGGGCUCCGUCCGGUUCAUGCUUCACAGCCAGAACCCCGACGCUCCAGGGCGCCGGCAAGCCAUGGAAGGGCAGCUCCACGCCCUCGACCUCCAGCCCGUGGUGGUCGGCGUGGCGAGCAUGUCCGCGCUGGCCUCCAUGGCCACGGAGCCUCCCAUCCGCGACCGCAUCCAGUGA